UACGAAGGGGCUAGCGUUGCUCGGAAUCACUGGGCGUAAAGCGCACGUAGGCGGCUUUUUAAGUCAGAGGUGAAAUCCUGGAGCUCAACUCCAGAACUGCCUUUGAUACUGAAGAUCUUGAGUUCGGGAGAGGUGAGUGGAACUGCGAGUGUAGAGGUGAAAUUCGUAGAUAUUCGCAAGAACACCAGUGGCGAAGGCGGCUCACUGGCCCGAUACUGACGCUGAUGCACGAAAGCGUGGGGAUCAAACAGG
rnacentral:rRNA from 1 species